UAAGCGGAGGAAAAGAAACUAACAAGGAUUCCCCUAGUAGCGGCGAGCGAAGCGGGAAAAGCUCAAAUUUGUAAUCUGGCGUCUACGACGUCCGAGUUGUAAUCUCGAGAAGUGUUUUCCGUGAUAGACCGCAUACAAGUCUCUUGGAACAGAGCGUCAUAGUGGUGAGAACCCAGUACACGAUGCGGAUGCCUAUUACUUUGUGAUACACUUUCGAAGAGUCGAGUUGUUUGGGAAUGCAGCUCAAAUUGGGUGGUAAAUUCCAUCUAAAGCUAAAUAUUGGCGAGAGACCGAUAGCGAACAAGUACCGUGAGGGAAAGAUGAAAAGCACUUUGGAAAGAGAGUUAACAGUACGUGAAAUUGUUGGAAGGGAAACACAUGCAGCCAGACUUGCUAUUCGGGGCAACUCGAUUGGCAGGCCCGCAUCAGUUUUUCGGGGCGGAAAAGCAUAGAGAGAAGGUAGCAAUUUCGGUUGUGUUAUAGCUCUUUAUUGGAUUCGCCCUGGGGGACUGAGGAACGCAGCGUGCUUUUAGCAUAAGCUUCGGCUUAUCCACGCUUAGGAUGCGGGUAUAAUGGCUGUAUAUGACCCGUCUUGAAACACG
rnacentral:rRNA from 1 species